CUCAAGUCCUGGUCAUGCUUUUCCACAGCUUUCUUGAACUUCUUAUGCAUCUUAUAUCUCUCCACCUCCAGGAUUUUAAGCCCUAGAAGCUCAAGAAAGCUGUGGGAGAAUAUGGCAAUUCAGGCU
rnacentral:pre_miRNA from 1 species